GUAAUAGUACAUUUCGAUGCUAGUGCGGAAGGUAUGUCAUUACUACACGACGAGUGGCAAGACUCGGGGCGAGUGAAGAAUGACAUUUCCGCACGUGUAUCGAACGACGUUUUUUAAUACAGUUGCGAAAAAAUAAGAAAAACAACAAUUUUUUUUUUCAAAUGUCUAUAAGUCAUAAACAAUUGUAAAUAUAAAACAUUGUAUUAUUAUUACCUAAGGAUCGUUAUUUACGAUUAUUUGUGUAUCGUA